GUGGAGCUGGUUGCUGCGCUCGAGCGAUCAUAAUUACUGUUUAUACCGAUAGAUUAUAAGAUGUUCUUUUAUAGGACAAAAAGAGCAAGUCAAGAGAACACUUAAGCUACGUUAAAGAAUUAAUACAAAAGGACUAUCAGGCACCAUAGUAUCUAUGCAGGCACUUGACUAUAAGUGCAAGAUGAAGAUUGUUUACAUCACAUAUCUGAUAUCAUGAAUUGUGACAUUUUAAGCAUCAUUAUUUUAUUAUUAUUACUAUAUAAUGUUUUACAACACACAGGACAAGUGGAAGGGAGAGUAAGAUAUGAGACUUAGAGAGGGUUGAGUUUGUUCCACAGUCGGACAAUUCUAUUGAAAUAAAUGUAAAAACGAGUAUGAUGUUUAAGUAUAGUUGUGAAUCAGUUUAUGGA